rnacentral:lncRNA from 1 species
AGCGCCCCAGCGCCAGGAACUCGGCCAGCAGGUCGGUGUUGCUGAGACACUGCACCACCGCGUUCAUGAAACAGGUGUUGCCGUGGUUCUUCAAGCCCUGAGCGCCCGGCGGCCGCGCCCCAUCGCCGGCGGGGAGCUGGAGCUGGGGCUGGGGUCCGGGCGGGCGUUCCUCCCCGGGGCUCCCGGGGGCCGCUGGAACUGGGCCCGGGGCGCAGGCGAAGCCCCCCUCACCGUCGCCAUCACAGUGUCCCGGCUGGGGCCGGGGCGGUGAGUCCCCGGGGCGUGAGCGGCUGCCCAGCGCCAGCAGGAAGCGGCUGAACAGGCGGCGCAGGGAGCGGCGGCGGCGGGGCCGGGGCGCGAGCGGUCCCCCUCCUGCCGCGUCCCCGGGGCCCAGGUCCAUGGCUGCCGCCGGCGCAGCUCCAGGCGCGGAGCCCCCGGGCGCGAGGCGGACGAGCGGCCAGCAGGCCCUACAGCUUCUCUAAGGCUCCUGGUGCCGGCUACCUGCGGGCCAGGUGUGCGGGGACGGGGCGGAGGCGGAGCCAAGGGCGGGGCAGCCCCGCCCCGCGCGGGAAUCCGGCGGCACGACCAGCCCCCUCCAGGGCAGCGCCGGGCCACCCCUACCCCUGCCUGGUGCCGCCCCCGCUGCGCUGACUGGGAGUCUUCGUGGUCGGAUUCCCCACCCUUCCUUACCUCGUAAACCGACAGACCUGGGUUUCGCCGCUGCUCCUGUUCCUCGAGCAGCCUUCAAGCAGUGGAAAUUACGGAGAAAUGAACAUUCUGAAAGCGCCUAGUAAAUGGUAAAGGCCUGGCUACUGCAGGAAGAAAAGGGCAAGGCAGGCAUCUCCAGAGCACAGCCUCGGGCGUGGUGAGAGGCGCGCGCUGGGCGCUGUGUGGGGGUGGGGAGCGCUUUUGUGCACCGCUGGUUCCUCCGCAGGCUCAGGUGUGUGCGGACAGGUGUCGCCACCUCCUUCCAGACCGUCUGCCCCUUGGGGGGAGGCAGAGUCUGUGCCUGCACCCGCCAACCCGGGACCUGAACUGGGAGCCACGUGUUGCCCUGUGAAAAAAGCCCCCGAGUGGUUGUGGUUUGCUUUUUUACACCACAGAUUGGGUUAGAAUCAUUUUCCAAAAACUUGCAAGACUUGAUCACCCUUGCUUUAAUCGGCAAGGAAGGGGGCUCAGAGAGGUUAUCGCAACGUAGGGAGGCCGCCCGAUCCGUAAGCAGGGAAACCGGAACUCGACCUGGAUCUAUGGACUGCCAAGUUCAGGCCCUUUCCAGCCUCAGUAUUUGCUAACCAGGAAGUUUUCAGGCUCUCAGGCGCGCCCCCUACGCGGUUUCUGGUUCACUCCUUAACGCACGAUCCUUGUUGAAUGAUUGCCCAAUCAGAAUUAGUUUGGCCUUGCCCCGCCCUUGAUUCCCUGGGUAACCCUGGGCCCCUCCCCCACCCCUCACUUUAUCCCAUGCAACUGUCAGGUUUAUAAUUAAUCAGGCAAGGUCUUGCAAAAUGACUUUCUCGUCAAUUUCUAGCUCAGGAAGAGAUCAGCACCAUGUGAGAUGCAGUAUUCUAACGCUCUGAAAUGUUACUUGUUGUUUAAUAAGUGAUCAUCAUUUAUUAAAUAUUCUUGAUCCUGGCCGGGCGCGGUGGCUCACGCCUGUAAUCCCAGCACCUUGGGAGGCCGAGACGGGCGGAUCACCUGAGGUCAGGAGUUCAAGACCAGCCUGGCCAACAUGGUGAAACCCCGUCUCGACUAAAAAUACAAAAUUAGCCAGGCGUGGUGGCGCAUGCCUGUAAUCCUAGCUACUCAGGAGGCUGAGGCAGGAGAAUCGCUUGAUUCAGUGAGCCGAGAUCGCGCCAUUGCACUCCAGCCGGGCGACAAGAGCUAAAUUGCGACAAGAGCUAAAUUCCGUCUCAAAAAACAAACAAACAAACAAAAAACUUGAUCUUUCAAACCGGGUUACAGCAGUUACCUCAUGCAAAAAAGCAGCCUUACUUAAAGGAUAAAUAACAUGCUUAAAACAUCAGACGGUACUGUGAAUCGGAGACUUGCGUUCUGGAAAAUGCCAUUAUUUACCCCUCUCUGGAAAAAGAUACCCGGCUGGGUGAUUAAUACACAAGGACACAAGGUCCAUUUCAUCACCCUUCUGGUGGAAAGCACAGAAGAAAGAUGUAAUGGCCAACUCCAAUAAAGCAUCUCUGUAAUUUCAUCUUUCUUUGGUAAUUGUCCUGAGAUCCCCAACACCACACAUUUUCUUUGAGAAAGCAUGCAUAUUUCUCUCUACCCUGUCAGGAAUUCUGCCGAUGCUUUAGUACAUUAGUCACUUAAUUCUCACAAUAACCUUUUGAGCAGGAACUUACUCUUGCUUGACAAAAGAGAAAAUUGUGGCUCAGAGAAUUUUUAAGAAGCCUGCCCAAGAUCUGGAUUUAAAUCUGAGUCUAGUCCCAUAUAGCUUGACCAAUGAAAUGGCAAUUAAGAAGGAAAUUCACCUCACCUUAUUUUUAGAGGAUAAUAGCAAUGCUGUCUGUGCACAGAUCAUGAGGAAGGUCUGUGGGUUUUGCAGAGUUGCAGAAAACAAAUUAUAACAGAAAACCAACAACUAAGAAUUUAUUCAAAAUGUUAAAAGUUCUAAUUAGAGUCUGCACAAAUUAUUCUUGAACAUACUUCAAUUUUAAUAUGCAAUUUAAGAAUAUAAAAUGCAUUCUAUAAAGAAAAAGAGAAAAAUUGACUCAAGAACAAAAACAGAGCUGUGAGAAAUGAAGACUAGUGUUGGAGUUAUCUAAACUCAGUCUUCAACAGGACUGCGUGCAACGCCAAGGCUCAGAGACAUCUCAUCAGCUUCAGGAGGUAUAUGGGUACUUCCAUCGCAAAAUGGCUCCAUCGGCACUUACACUAACAAUAUAUUGAUUUCCUGGACUUAUGCGGAUGCGUGUGAUGUUGCCACUGUGUCCCACCCCAACGUGAGUCACUUCACCCUCAUUAUAAUCCCAAACUUUGACCAGAUGGUCAUUUCCACCUGAAAAAGAUAAACACGUAUAUGGCAUUGCUGCAAUAGGAGAGAGAGAAACAGCCCUGAUUUCAAAUAACUGGAUCAUUUUCAACAUGGUCCCCAUGUAUCUGUCUUUAUAAUAACACUUUUACUUGAUUAUAAAAAUCUAUCUGUUGCAGUAAAUUUGAAGAGGAGGGGGAAAUACAAAGAGGUAAAAUCACAUUUCAUCCCACUACCCAGAAAUAACCACUAGUAAUAUCUUGGCUUAGUUCCUUCCAGUCUUUUCUCUAUAAGUAUACUGGUAUACAUAUACAUCAUAUAUAUGAUUGGGAUCACACUGUGUCUAGUUUGAUACCUGCUUUGUAGUCAAUGUACUUGUGAAACUUAAUUCAUUUCAUGCAUUUAUUUAUUUUUUACUUAUUUAUUUAUUGAGACGGACUGUCUGUCACUCAGGCUGGAGUGGAGUGGCAUGAUCUCAGCUCACUGCAGCCUCCGCCUCCCAGGCUCAAGCAAUUCUCCUGUCUCAGCCUCCCAAGUAGCUGGGAUUAUAGGCGUGCACCACCACGCCCGGCUAAUUUUUGUGUUUUUAGUAGACACAGGGUUUCACCAUGUUGGCCAGGCUGGUCUCAAACUCCUGACCCCAGGUGAUCCACCUGCCUUGGCCUCCCAAAGUGCUAGGAUUACAGGCAUGAGCCACCACGCCUGGCCGCAUUUAUUUGUUAAUAUCCUGAUGAAUCAAAGAGCUUGGCAGGAAAUGAUAAUGAUGUUCCAAUCGGCAUGUUGUGUGGUAAAUGCCCCUUUGAAAUAUUGGUUAAUUCAUUUGUUUUGGUGGGAAGGGCAUCGCAUCAUGCAAUAAUAAAGUGGAAUUAAAAGACUGGCUUUUAAGACUUUAGAAGUAUGCUGGACAGCCCAGGCCAUUUAAAGGCCCCAUUUCUAUUAUCAAUGCCCACCAAAAAUAGCAAGCCUAGCAAUCUAAGUCUUGGCUUUUAUUUGUGCUCUUAAGGCUCUUGUGCAAAUGUUUCCUCUCAUUGAAAUGUGACUUCUGGAUUUUUCUUUCUCAGCCACAUUGGCUGCAGUAUUGGUUGGAAUCUGAUUCUAACCAAGUUGCCUUGAGACCCUUUUGUUGUCUUUUCCAAUUGCCUCUAGCCUGGGAGUUCCUUCCAUGUCCUCGUCUAAAUAAGCCAGGCUUGGCUUUUUCCUAUCCCAGGACUAACCUGUGACAAAGUGCACCCCUUCCUGUGUGAUAUCCAUGCCAUUUAUCGACCCAGACAGGGAACCUUCCAAUUCUCUGAUUACUGUCCCAUCAAAUACUUCCCAGUAAGCAAUCUGGAAUUCAGGAAAGAAGCAUUAAGCAGGACUCAGCUCAGGAGAGUCAUCCAUGCACAUGCUAACAAAAGAUGGCUCUACUUUAUAUAGAAGGGAGCAAAAAUACACCACGGGAUGAUACUGGCUGAAAUUAUAAAUAGGCUACAGCAGGGGGUGGCAAAACCAUUUUAAUAUUUUUAGUAUUGGUUUUAAAUUUGCAUUCUAUUUAAAGACAUGUUGAUGUGCUGAUAAACCUGGAUUAAGACAGAAAGGGCUUUUGAUAAGACUAAGAAGAUUCAGCCUGAAGCAAGCUGUAAAAGAAAGAACAGCCUCUGCAUCCACAGCUAAGCUUCAGGCCUGGAGGGAGGAAAAGCAUUUUCUUCCUUCUCACUGGGGGAUGAGCACUCCCCACUCCCCAGAGUUCUAGAGACUGGGCUGUACAGGCACCCUCCCACUGGGACUGCGCCCUCCCUCUUCCUCACACCACCCUUAUUCCCAACUUUCCCUUCUGCUCCAAAGCACUGAAAUAUUCCACAGGGUAGAGUUUAAAGAGGAACUGGUAACCUUGGUUCCCUGUUGGGGAGCAGAACUACCUUAGGGAUGGAGAGACAGGUGCCUAAAGGAGGGUGAUUUUUUUCCUGAAUAUACUGCCUUUGUACCUUAAACUUUGUGAAUGCACAAUCUAUUCAAGAUUUAAAUUUCCUUCUUAGGAAAGAAUGCUUCUGUUUAUGAUAGCAAAGACAGGGAAUCAACCUAAAUGCCCAUCAAUGAUAGACUGCAUAAAGAAAAUGCGAUACGGCCAGCUGGGUGCAGCGGCUCACACCUAUAAUCCCAGCACUUUGGGAAGCCGAGUUGGGCCCGUUGCUUGAGGUCAGGAAUGCGAGACCAGCCUGGGCAAUAUGGUGAAACCCUGUCUGUACUAAAAAUACAAAAAUUAGCUGGAUGUGGUGGCACACACCUGUAGUGCCAGCUACUUGGGAGGGUGAGGCAUGAGAAUCACUUGUACCCAGGAGGUGAAAGUUGUAGGAGGUUGCAGUGAGCUGAGAUUAUGCCACUGCACUCCAGCCUGGGUGACAAAGUGAGACUCUGUCUCCAAAAAAAACAGAAUAAACUUAAGAAAAUGUGGCAGAUAUAUACCACGGAAUACUAUGCAGCCAUGAAAAGGAACAAGAUCAUGUCCUUUGCCGGGACAUGGAUGGAGUUGGGAGCCAUUAUCCUCAGCAAACUAACGCAGGAACAGAAAACCAAACACCACAUGUUCUCACUUACAAGUGGAAGCUGAAGGAUGAAAAGAGAUGGACACGUGGGGAAACAACACACUCUGGGGCACCUGUCGGGGGGUGGUGGGUGGGGGGAGGAAGAGCAUCAGGAAGAAUAGCUAAUGCAUGCAGGGCUUAAUACCGAGGUGAUGGGAUGAUCCGUACAGCAAACCACCACGGCACAUGUUUACCUAUGGAACAAACCUGCACAUCCUGCACAUGUACCCCUGAACUUAAAGUUGAAAAAAAAAAAAAAAAAAAGAGUGCUUGACCAGGAAUCAGGAGUGCAAACCUGCACGUGCAUUUCAUUUGUUUCUCAUUGUUUCAUGUCGGAAACGUGCUGUGUUCCAGUCACUCUGCCAGGAGUCUGUAUUCCUCUGAAUCUAGCUAGACAUUAUGCAUACUAUUUCUUGUUAAUUUUUUUCUUUUGCUUUGUAAUGUCUGUUGAUGCUUGAUCAUGUUAACAAAAAAGUUCUGAUUUCAUAGUAAACGCCUAAAGAGAUAGAAAACCAUGCCAGAACCCAUGUUUCUCAGGAUUCACACCCACAGAAGUAGUUGGAACUUGACUGCCUGCCUUCCCAGCCAAAGAAGCCAAAUUGACACUCUCCUGGGCAGCCCCAGUAGGGCUCCAUCUUACUGGAGUGUCCUCUGCCAGAGAUGCCCUUCCUUGAGGUCUAGGCAUUGACUGAGUCCUUCUGUCAUUCAGGCCUCACUCAGAUGCUGCUCCUUAAGGAGGCCUUCACCCACCACCCCAGCUGAAGGAGCUUUCCCCCGCCCGCCAGUAUCAUGUCACCAGUUCUAUCUCCUUUCUCAGUCCUUUCACCAUCUCAUCUCUUGUUCACUUGUUAUUCAUUGUCCAUUCAUGGAUUGGUUCAUGUGUGUAUUAGCCAAUUCCAUCCCCUCCUACCCAAAAUAAAUUAGGGAAGUAAGGUUCAUGAGAGCAGGGACCCCUUGCUUGCUCCAAGGGUGAACAUUCCCCCAAACAGAAGGAUGAACCUUCACCUUCCUCUUUAGCUGGGAAAUCUGUACCAUAUGUAGAAUUUUUUUUUUUUUUUAAGAGAGAGUCUUGCUCUGUCACCCAGACUGGAGUGCAGUGGUGCAAUCUUGGCUCGCCGCAACCUCCACUUCCCAGGUUCAAGCAAUUCUCAUGCCUCAGCCUCUUGAGUAGCUGAGAUUACAGGCACCCGCUACCACACCCUACUAAUUUUUUGUAUUUUUUGUAGAGAUGGGGUUUCACCAUGUUGGCUAGGCUGGUCUCGAACUCCUGACCUCAGGUGAUCCACCCGCCUCAGCCUCACAAAGUGCUGGAAUUACAGGCAUCAGCCACCACGCUUGGCUCCGUGUGUAGAUUUUUAAUGUAUUGAUGAAGUACAGUGCUGAGAGAUGAGGAGCUCUAUUGCCUUUCUGUCUGAAUUUAGUCAAAGUGAUAACCGGUUUGGGCACAGCAAUUCUACUCCAGUCUCAGAAAUUCCCUAAUAAUAAAAACCAAUCUAUUGAGUACCUACUAUGUGCCAGACCCCCUGCUAUAAGCACCAUGAGCAAGCAUGACUUUAAUCCUUACUCUAUGAGGUCAGUGGUACCAUUUCCACUUAACAGGUGGGGAAGUGAAGACACUGGAAGGUGAUAUGGCCUUUCCAAAGUGGCAUGGCUGAUUGAUGACAGACCACCAUUGGAAACAAGGUGGUUUGACUCCAGAGCCCGCACCCUCCACCACAACGCCUCACUGCUUUUCUCUUGCGCUGGAAAGAUCUCAUCUCUCACUGGGAGGACUCACCUUUCUGUCUGUUCCGCUGGUGAUGAUCUGGAACUCCUCAGGGUGAUAGCACACACACUGGAAUAAGGUGUUGGCUAGUAUCAUCUGAUUCCUCCUGAGACGCCUGGAAAGUAGAUUCAAAAGCUGUGAAAGUCGACUUUCUCUUCCCUAGGAAAUUUAUUCACUAUUCAAGCUGGAUUUGGUGCAAGCUGGGAUUUGGGUUGGUUUAUCUCCAUGCCAAACAUCUCAUACUGCUCAGCAAAGUGGUGCUUGUAUUUCUUCAAAACAGACUUCAGGUCACCCUGUCCUCUCUACUUCUGUGUACUCCGGUUGGCCUAUCAGUGACCACCAGAGGACAAUGGGAAGGGCCCUUUCCUAAAGACAGAGCACGAAACUCAAUGAGAACCCUUAAGUUCCAGGGAAGAAGAAGCAGAAGAGGCUGAACUCACAGCCAACCUGCUGCCUCCCACACAAUGUACUUGAGUCCUGAGGCCACCAUUUGGAAGUGGAGCUCCCUACAGUCUGAGAAGCAGAAUGUGGGGAAGGGUAUUUUAUUUUGUUUAUGUUUUAAUCAUCGAUGUAUCUUUAAUUCACAAAUAAAAGCUGUAGCAAGAUGUCAUGUACACAUUUGUACACAGGUUUGGACGUACCAUAUCAUGCACAACCCUCGGAAAGCACGAGCCUGUCACGUGGGGAUGUCCCAAAAGCUGGCAGGCUCAACCCUUGUCUGCAUAUGGUAUCACUGCAUCCUCCCCAUCACAGGUACCUACACAAGGUCCCAAAUGAUACAAGUCCCAUCGGUGCUGGCGGUGACACACUCCUCGUUGUUCCUCUUCACCCUAAUGCAGGACACUGAUGACUUGUGUUCCUUCAGGGCCUCCUCCAGCUUCUGGGUCUGACAGCCUAUCUGCCAUACCCUCACCUGAAAGCCACAGAGCACAGGAUCUUGAUCCACACUUGGGACUUCUGAAGGGAUAGGAAAAGAUUCCAAGAGCUUUUUCCCCUUUGCUAUGCUUGAUUUGUGUUUUUUUAAUUCCCUGUCUUUGUCUCGGUUGGGUGGGGUGUGAAUGCUAAGUUGAAGGGCAGGCAUAUUCAUGUAUAAGAUGUGAUCAUCUUCAACAGAGCUUCAAAAAUGCUACUAACAAUCCUGUACCUGCUUGUACAUACAGGCUGAGAAAUUUAAUCAGACACCUGCUAUGCAAAUCGAUAAUGCAAGGGCCAACGCAAAACCAAGUGAAAUAAUGUCUAUUCACUUUUGCUGAUCACUGCUCUCAAAUUUCUGGUACUGUCAGGAAAGUUCGUGAGUACCCAGAGCUAUAUUUAAACUUUCACAAUCAGCUGUUCAAUUUUGAUCAUUUAAAAGCAAUGGUUCCCAACUCUACUGAAUCCAAUACCUAUUUUAUAUCACAAAUAUUUCCAAAUACCUGUGUAUUAUCCUGGAGUGAAAUUCAUAGGUAAUACAACUACCUACACACAAAAUUUAAAAUCAUUAAUAUGAUGCUUUAAUAAAAAGGAUAGAUAAAAGGGAAGUUGUUUAGUUAGUAUGGUAUUCCUUCAUUUUUUGAGAUGGAGUCUUGGUCCGUCUCCCAGGCUGGAGUGCAAUGGCGCGAUCUCGGCUCACUGCGACCUCUGCCUCAUGGAUUCAAGCAAUUCUCCUGUCUCAGCCUCCCAAGUAGCUGGGACUACAGGAGUGCACCACCACACCUGGCUAAUUUUUGUAUUUUUUUUUCUUUUUUUGAGACAAAAUGUCGCUCUGUCACCCAGGCUGGAGUGCAAUGCAAUGGCGUGGUCUCGGCUCACUGCAACCUCCAACUCACCACGCCUGGCCUAAUUUUUGUAUUUUUAGUAGAGACAGGGUUUGGCCAUGUUGGCCAGGCUGGUCUCAAACUCCUGAGCUCAGGUGAUCCACCUGCCUCAGCCUCCCAAAGUGCUGAGAUUACAGGCGUGAGCCACCAGGCCCAGCCAGUAUUCCUUUAAUGGACAAAGGAUCUGUCACAACUACACCAG